AGAGGCAGCUGUUUGGCAUCACUGCCCCAACUUCUGUGGAACUGACUGGUUGGAGGAAAUACUUUAAUAGCUACACCCUGCAGGGCCGGCGAAAUUGUGUCUUGGUUACUUACGGGAUCUUGGUUGUAACAGCAUCUGCCUACUUGAUGCACAGGCAUAACAAAAAAGAACAUCAGCUGUCCAGCUCUGCGGCCUGAAAGAUCGACCUCUCACAGAAAAAAGAAAACAGAAGGAAACAACAUGAUACUAUGUCUGUAAAGGUUCUCAGUCACCCAGGUCAUAGUUAUUCAAUGACCUUCGUGGAUAACAUGAUAAUAUCCAUCUCUAGAGUGUGAGGGAAUAAAUGCUAUGUAAAAUGCU